CCCUUAGAUGUCCGGGGCCGCACGCGCGCUACACUGAAGGAAUCAGCGUGGCUUUCUCCCUGACCCGAAAGGGUUGGGAAACCCGUUGAAUCUCCUUCGUGAUAGGGAUUGGGGCUUGAAAUUGUUCCCCAUGAACGAGGAAUUCCCAGUAAGCGCGAGUCAUAAGCUCGCGUUGAUUACGUCCCUGCCCUUUGUACACACCGCCCGUCGCUACUACCGAUUGAACGGUUUAGUGAGGGCCUCGGAUUGGUCUCGGCCCGCUUUUUACCGGGCGGCGCCGUUGGUCGAGAAGACGCUCGAACUUGAUCGUUUAGAGGAAGUAAAAGUCGUAACA
rnacentral:rRNA from 1 species